UAUUUAAUAUUAAUUAUUAAUUAUAAUUAUAAGAAAUUUAAAAUAGUUUAAAGUAUAGUAGUAGAAACAAAUAAAUAAUAAAAAGUAAAUAUAU
rnacentral:rRNA from 1 species